GUACUUGGUUCAGCAGUACAUAGACUAAAAAUCAGAAUGAUACAGAGAAGAUAACAUAAUCCCUGUGCAAGGAUGAUGCACAAAUUCAUGAAGUCUAUAUUAU
rnacentral:snRNA from 1 species